AAGCAUUACAAGAGUCGUUGCUUAUGGGACACACGUCGACAAAGUCUUUCUCUCCUCAAAGGAGGAACCGAACCUCUUCUUGAUCAAGCCGUUGAUCUACCACCACCGGAGGAGGAGGAUUACGAUCCGGCACCGGCUUUUUGACCUGUUCGGCUCAGGAGGAGGAGGAGGGCGAGAGAGGGAAGAUCGGAGAAGGAGAUCCGGCAGUCGUCGAACUCGCUUUCCUCGUCGGAGGAUGAUGCUAGGUCUACGGGUACGACGGUGGAGAUGCGGUUAGAGCUCUCGAAGAAGUGGUCGUCGACGUCAUCUUCUUUAACUUCGCCUAACCCCACCCAAUUCAUCUUCUAGUGUAUGUUAAAGCCUCAGUUCCACCCAGAAAACCCAAAUCCAUCUCUACGUCGAUACCCUUCUCCAAUGGAACCAGAAAAUGAAUCUUACGGAAACUAAAGAAGCUGAUGAAGUAAUGAAGAGGCAUAUUGAAGAUUCUCUUGCGAUAUUGCCUCCUAUAAGGACUUGUUACAGCUUGCAGUCAAGUGAUCAAAUCAGUUUAAUCGAUGUUGGAAGUGGUGCAAGCCUUUCUGGGCUGGUUCUAGCAAUUGCUUGUCCAGAUUGGAGAGUUACUCUACUGGAGUCUAUCAAUAAGCUUGUGUUUUCUUGGAGCACGUCGUUACUUUCACUAGGCUAACAAAUGUUAAAAUCGUUAGGGGCAGAGCAGAGUGGGGAUGUGAUCUAGUGCAGAGAGUGUGGCUACCGUUAUUGUUGCUGGUUAUUGUUACUGGUACUAGGAGUUUUUGCUAUUAUUGGUCUUGUUCAAGCUUAGGAUCAACAAGGUAUCCACUUCUUAUCUUAAUGUUUUGUGUCUUGAAAUACUUCUACUCUUUAUGAUUCAUGUCUUUUGUCAUGACUACGAUGGUACGUAUUACUUGUAUUCUUGUGAACUCUUGUAGAGUAUGUUUGAAAUGUUUUAUGUCUCAAUGUUUAAUUUUUUUCUUAAGAA